rnacentral:rRNA from 1 species
UUACCUGGUUGAUCCUGCCAGUAGUCAUAUGCUUGUCUCAAAGAUUAAGCCAUGCAUGUCUAAGUACGCAUCUUAGCACGGUGAAACCGCGAAUGGCUCAUUAGAUCGGUUAUGGUUCCUUGGAUCUUACAAAUCCUACUCGGAUAACUGUGGUAAUUCUAGAGCUAAUACGUGCGCAAAGGCCGGACCCUUCGCGGGGGAUGGCUGCGUUUAUUGUCUCAAAACCAAACCGCUCUUCGGGGCGGUCCCUUUGGUGAAUCUGGAUAACUUUGAGCUGAUCGCACGGGCUUUGACCCGGCGACGUAUCUUUCAAAUGUCCGCCCUAUCAACUGUCGAUGGUCGGCGACCUGCCUACCAUGGUUGUAACGGGUAACGGGGAAUCAGGGUUCGGUUCCGGAGAGGGAGCAUGAGAAACGGCUACCACUUCCAAGGAAGGCAGCAGGCGCGCAAAUUACCCACUCCCGGCUCGGGGAGGUAGUGACGAAAAAUAACAAUGCGGGACUCUUUCGAGGCCCCGUAAUUGGAAUGAGUACACUUUAAAUCCUUUAACGAGGACCAACUGGAGGGCAAGUCUGGUGCCAGCAGCCGCGGUAAUUCCAGCUCCAGUAGCGUAUAUUAAAGUUGUUGCGGUUAAAAAGCUCGUAGUUGGAUCUCAGAGGGGCGUUCGCGGUUGGCCUUCGCGGUCUUACUGCGUGCGCCCUUCACCGACCGCCGGUCGCGCAUGCCCUUCGCUGAGCGUGCGUCGGCUGCGGCCACGUUUACUUUGAAAAAAUUAGAGUGUUCAAAGCAGGCGUCUUCUCGCCCGCAUACCCCAGCAUGGAAUAAUGGAAUAGGAGGCUGGUUCUAUUUUGUUGGUUUUCGGAAUCUAGCCUAAUGGUUAAGAGGGACGGCCGGGGGCAUUCGUAUUGCGGCGUUAGAGGUGAAAUUCUUAGAUCGCCGCAAGACGAACAAGUGCGAAAGCAUUUGCCAAGAAUGUUUUCAUUAAUCAAGAACGAAAGUCAGAGGCGCGAAGGCGAUCAGAUACCGCCGUAGUUCUGACCAUAAACGAUGCCAACUAGCGAUCGGUCGGAGUUGCUCUAAUGACCUGACCGGCAGCUGCCGGGAAACCAAGCAAGUGUUUGGGUUCCGGGGGGAGUAUGGUCGCAAGGCCGAAACUUAAAGGAAUUGACGGAAGGGCACCACCAGGAGUGGAGCCUGCGGCUUAAUUUGACUCAACACGGGAAAACUCACCCGGCCCGGACACUGUGAGGAUUGACAGAUUGAUAGCUCUUUCUUGAUUCGGUGGGUGGUGGUGCAUGGCCGUCUAGUG